GUGGAUUAGAUACCCGGGUAGUCCACGCCGUAAACGAUGGAUGCUAGCCGUUGGCAAGCUUGCUUGUCGGUGGCGCAGCUAACGCAUUAAGCAUCCCGCCUGGGGAGUACGGCCGCAAGGUUAAAACUCAAAGGAAUUGACGGGGGCCCGCACAAGCGGUGGAGCAUGUGGUUUAAUUCGACGCAACGCGAAGAACCUUACCAAGCCUUGACAUGUCCGGUCGGUUUCCAGAAAUGGAUUCCUCCUAGCAAUAGGUCGGAACACAGGUGCUGCACGGUCGUCGUCAGCU
rnacentral:rRNA from 1 species